GAUAGCAAGUGAAUCCGUAAAUAAUCCUAUGGUUAUUAAAACUAGAUCCCAUUUGUGGGUUCAACUAGUUUAAAAAACCAUCCAAUGACAAUGAAAUAUAAUUUAAAGAUUAACCAAUAUUGUUAAUUGAUGGAAACCAAUAAUAUUUAAGCAGCUAAAUAAAAACAAUAUAUUAAAAUGUGAAACAGUGUAUUUUGGAGAAAUAUUCAUCUAAGAUAGAUUCCAA
rnacentral:lncRNA from 1 species